CAGAAUUCAGUAUUUAUGCAAUUGCCAGUACAAAAACGCUCGUCGCUUUGAUCUACAUCGUAUCGGGUCCACUCUUUUACGUUCGAUGUUGAAUUCAUUAACGGUAGGUACAUUGCUUAUAUUUUUGACCAAUCGAAAACGAGAAUAUAGCGCAACAUUGCAUAUAUCAGUCAAUUCAUCGAAUAUUACUUCACGCUAGCGUAACAACAGAAUGCUUCAAUAUCAUCUAAAUUGGCGAGAUUUUAUGAUAAUAAAAAAAUAAUUACCAAACAAAAAAUUCUCUCUGCGACAACCUACUAGACCAAAGUA
rnacentral:misc_RNA from 1 species